UGGGGGAUAUUGCACAAUGGGCGAAAGCCUGAUGCAGCGACGCCGCGUGGGGGAUGAAGGCUUUCGGGUUGUAAACCUCUUUCGCUAUCGAACAAGGCCCGCUUAGGGUGGGUUGAGGGUAGGUGGAGAAGAAGCGCCGGCUGACUACGUGCCAGCAGCCGCGGUAAUACGUAGGGCGCGAGCGUUGUCCGGAAUUAUUGGGCGUAAAGGGCUUGUAGGCGGCUUGUUGCGCCUGCUGUGAAAACGCGGGGCUUAACUUCGCGCGUGCAGUGGGUACGGGCAGGCUUGAGUGUGGUAGGGGUGACUGGAAUUCCAGGUGUAGCGGUGGAAUGCGCAGAUAUCUGGAGGAACACCGAUGGCGAAGGCAGGUCACUGGGCCAUUACUGACGCUGAGGAGCGAAAGCAUGGGUAGCGAACAGG
rnacentral:rRNA from 1 species